AUUGAACGCUGGCGGCAGGCCUAACACAUGCAAGUCGAGCGGAUGAAGGGAGCUUGCUCCUGGAUUCAGCGGCGGACGGGUGAGUAAUGCCUAGGAAUCUGCCUGGUAGUGGGGGAUAACGUCCGGAAACGGGCGCUAAUACCGCAUACGUCCUGAGGGAGAAAGUGGGGGAUCUUCGGACCUCACGCUAUCAGAUGAGCCUAGGUCGGAUUAGCUAGUUGGUGGGGUAAAGGCCUACCAAGGCGACGAUCCGUAACUGGUCUGAGAGGAUGAUCAGUCACACUGGAACCGAGACACGGUCCAGACUCCUACGGGAGGCAGCAGUGGGGAAUAUUGGACAAUGGGCGAAAGCCUGAUCCAGCCAUGCCGCGUGUGUGAAGAAGGUCUUCGGAUUGUAGAGCACUUUAAGUUGGGAGGAAGGGCAGUAAGUUAAUACCUUGCUGUUUUGACGUUACCAACAGAAUAAGCACCGGCUAACUUCGUG
rnacentral:rRNA from 1 species